rnacentral:rRNA from 1 species
AACGAACGCUGGCGGCAGGCUUAACACAUGCAAGUCGAGCGAGACCUUCGGGUUUAGCGGCAGACGGGUGAGUAACGCGUGGGAACGUACCUUUUGGUUCGGAACAACACAGGGAAACUUGUGCUAAUACCGGAUAAGCCCUUACGGGGAAAGAUUUAUCGCCGAAAGAUCGGCCCGCGUCUGAUUAGCUAGUUGGUGAGGUAAUGGCUCACCAAGGCGACGAUCAGUAGCUGGUCUGAGAGGAUGAUCAGCCACAUUGGGACUGAGACACGGCCCAAACUCCUACGGGAGGCAGCAGUGGGGAAUAUUGGACAAUGGGGGCAACCCUGAUCCAGCCAUGCCGCGUGAGUGAUGAAGGCCCUAGGGUUGUAAAGCUCUUUUGUGCGGGAAGAUAAUGACGGUACCGCAAGAAUAAGCCCCGGCUAACUUCGUGCCAGCCGCCGCAGUAACAC